ensembl:snoRNA SNORD27 Small nucleolar RNA SNORD27
ACUCUGUGAUGAACAUAAAGACAAGCAUAUGGCUGAUCUUAAAAGUGAUGUCAUCUUCCUACUGAGAAGU